rnacentral:misc_RNA from 1 species
GAUGAAGAACGUAGCGAAAUGCGAUAAGUAAUGUGAAUUGCAGAAUUCAGUGAAUCAUCGAAUCUUUGAACGCACAUUGCGCCCGCCAGUAUUCUGGCGGGCAUGCCUGUUCGAGCGUCAUUUCAACCCUCAGGGCCCUUUUGGACCUGGCGUUGGGGCUCGGCCGCUACCCUGCGGCCGUCCGCGAAAGAUAGUGGCGGUCUCGCUGUAGCCUCCUCUGCGUAGUAGUUACAUCUCGCACUGGAACGCGGCGCGGCCAUGCCGUUAAACACCCCACUUCUCAAGGUUGACCUCGGAUCAGGUAGGAAUACCCGCUGAACUUAAGCAUAUCAAUAAGCGGAGGA